ensembl:snRNA U6 U6 spliceosomal RNA
GUGCUUGCUUUGGCAGCACAUAUACUAAAAUUCAAACGAUAUAAAGAAAAUUAAUGUGGUCCUGUUGCAAGGAUGACAUACAAAUUCCUGAAGGGUUCCAGUUAAAA